UUGCUUAGCCCUAAACACAAAUAAUUACAGAAACAAAAUUAUUCGCCAGAGUACUACCGGCAACAGCCCGAAACUCAAAGGACUUGGCGGUGCUUUAUACCCUUCUAGAGGAGCCUGUUCUAUAAUCGAUAAACCCCGAUAAACCUCACCAAUCCUUGCUAAUACAGUCUAUAUACCGCCAUCUUCAGCAAACCCUAAAAAGGAACAAAAGUAAGCUCCUUCACAACACGUAAAGACGUUAGGUCAAGGUGUAACCCAUGGAAUGGGAAGAAAUGGGCUACAUUUUCUACCUUAAGAAAAUUAAUACGAAAGCCAUUAUGAAAUUAAUGACCAAAGGAGGAUUUAGUAGUAAACUAAGAAUAGAGUGCUUAGUUGAAUUAGGCCAUGAAGCACGCGCC
rnacentral:rRNA from 1 species